ACACAGCGCAGCGCACAGACGUAAUGCCGUCAAUUGGCAGCUAGCAAGCGAACACGGUCAGCAUCCAAUGGGGCGAGCGAGUUUCGUGUGCUACAUGCAUGCACAUGAACAACGACGACAACGAAGUGCGAGCAAUCGCGUUGCCAGCAGACGUGUCGCAACUAGUUUCAUUUGAACUGUUGCCCGGUGAGCACACACAUUGAGCGUGACGUUGUGUCCGUCGGUAAUUCGAUAGUGUGUGUGUGUGUUGGUUGGUGUGCGCGUUUGAACGCGUUGUAAAAUGCGAAACGGUUUUGUGGAGUUUUUCGACUCACACAAAAAUAAAUAUAUGAAUAAUUAAACAAAAGCAGCAAUAUGCAGAAAUAACAACAAAGUAAUGCAAAAAAUACAUUUAGUGCGUGAAAAUCGUUAAAAACAACUAAAAAUAUUGCCUACCUUUCGGCGUUGAAACGGCUGUAAUGUUAAAUUUCAAGCAAAUUUCUUUCGUACGUGCUGUUACAAACUACUGUAAGUGCUAAAUUGAAAUCAACAAUAACAAAAAAUAAGCCGAAAAAUUAGCAACAAAAACGCCACACAGAAAUUUGUUCGAGCAGGAAAAUUGCGCAAAUGGGUUUUUUACUAUCCAAAUGGAAAAGCAAGUGAGAUAAGUGCGUGAGUGAAUGCGUUGUAAUUGAAUUUGCUUUGACGUGCUUACGAUUUUAUGGAUGUGAAAUGAAAGUAAAAUAUUGAAACGUUAAAAGCGAAAGCGAAAUCAGAAAAAAAAAA